rnacentral:lncRNA from 1 species
AGCGUACGUGGCGUGCCGGCUAACCACCGGCGACGACAGCAACGACUCCCGUCGCGCCGUUCGACAGGCACAGCGCAGGUAGGCCAGCGGCAGCCAGGGCCCAGCGCGGGGCGAGCUCGAUCCGCCGGCACCAAUCCAUAUUGCAGCCCAACGGGAGAAAGGUGGGUUGUUGUGGCCCCCUCUCUUUUUGCUUUAUUUUAUCAUCACGUAAAAAUAUGAUAAUUUUUUUAUAAAGUAUCCAUUUUCAAUUCCAUGUGUACUGUUAUCUUUCUUAUGAUAAAUUUAUAAAACAAGAUUCAUAUUGCAUAUAUUUUGAAAUAGUUUUUAUAUACUGGCAACUUAUACUUAAAUGUGUUGAGCUACUAUAUAAAUGUACAUAUAUACAUAAAUUGCUACAAAACUAAUUUUGGCCCUCAUGUUUUUUUUUACCUAUAUGAAGUAUCUAAAUAAUUUUCACAUUAUCUGUACAUAAGUUGCUAGACAUCCUGCACAUAUACAAUUGUCACACAAGUUGUCACACGCAUAAGUUGAUAGUGCUACACACAAGAUGUUGAUUUAGUAUGCAUAAAUCGACAGUGAUCUCUUGAUCACUACAUAAUAUAUGAAUGAAAAAUCUCUAUAACUUGAUGGUUCCACAGCUCGUGCCAUACAAGUUAAUUGUAUAAGUUAGCAUGCAAUCUCCGCAUAAGUUAGUAUAAAUUGUAUACAAGUUGGCAGUACCUCUACACAUAAGUUGUCAACACGAAUAAAAUUACACCAAAAUAUAUGCAAGGGGAUCUAGUUUUGUAGGUCUCGUAAUAAGGAAUACAAUGGUGUAAACAGAAUUAAAAAACAAACUUUAUAUGUGAGAGAAAUGAUAUUUUUAAAUGGGAGGAGCAACUUGUUGGUUCACGUCAGCAUCUUUUUAUUUUCUUUCAACUCUGUUUCGUGGUUACUGCUAGUGGGAUAAUGAUGACAUGCAUGCUUAGAAUACAGGAUAAGUAAUUCCCGUACAGGUCGUGCGAUUGGUUGAACGCGACCUGUCGCGCGUUAGCUUGAUCCAUUCGGAAACGAGGCUGUGGCUUGGGGGCACGUAUCUUGCCUGAUCGGCGAUAGAGAUCCGUUGAUUGCUUGGAGGCGUGACGGAGCUGACGAUUCCUUCCUAUUUCUUGUGUGGGGUAUCUUCGAUGCGCCGUGCUCGUGCAGCGAACAAUUCGGGGGUCCGAGGAAUCCCAUUCCACGCCACGUCCGAUACAUAUCCGUCCUUCAUCCACUUUAUCGGAACCAAUCCAUCUUUGUUUUUUUCCCGAAUCCAAUCCAUCUUUGUUUUAUCCGAAAAUGUCAAAGCUUUUGUUGUGUCAUACCCUUGGUACUAUAUCUCCGGACCUAGAGUUUUGCGUAUUUGCAAUUUGCAAGCACUAGUGUGGAUAGCAUCAUAGCAAUCCAUCGACACAUGGUUUUCGUUGCGUACGGAACCCUCUCUCCCGUCAUCUUGAAAAAGAUGUAUGCGGACAUAUUUUAAAGCGUUGUAAUAUCAAGUUUGUUUUACGAGCUGGCCAGUUCAAAAAAGAAAAUGAUAUGAUGCUAUAUACACGUCGAGUAACUUGAAAACGGAGGUUUUAUUCUAUCAAGGAAUGGCGACUACCUGAUUCCAAUAAGGCAGUCUAGGCCAUAUUCUUUACCUUCAAGUAUCAGAGUUGAGUAUUUCGCAACAAAAAAAAAAAAGAGCUGAGCGACCUAUUUCUAAAUCUACCUCCAAUCUCCAUCUUGAUUCAAAUUUAAGGUCUCCCGUCUCGAUGUUGUACUAUGGGCGGUCUUUUGUUGACGCUUGUUCUUGACAUACUUUUAGUGCCAUUUAAUUAGUAUUUUCAUGCAUAUUCUUGUACUAACCCAUCACUUGGCACCUGAAAUAACCAUGUUUUGACAUGUGCAAGAUAUUUUGGAGGAUAUUCAGUUUUGGUAGGAAAUUAGGCUAAAUAUGCAUUUUUGGAUAGAGCCUCGAACGAGCAGUGGACCAUAGGAAGACGAAAAUUAGGAGGCACAAAAAGGGUCCAGGCUGAUUGGCCUGAGGGCCAAUCGACCUAGGGUCUUUUCACCCCCUCUCGUACUCAUUUUUGGCAAGCAAUCCUCCAAAAUGACUUAAAGGCUAAUUUUCUGAAGAUAUGACAAGGAUCACUUCGGGAUCAAGGAGGAAUCAAAGAAGAUCAAGCGGAGAUUUGGAAAGUUAUUGAAGAUCAAUCUCAUCCCGAAGCUACCGAUGUGCUAGGCCCACAUGCAUACAAAAUAAGGUUCCAGAAUAUUGAAGAAGACUUGAC